GUUUCCAUAGUGUAGUGGUUAUCACGUCGGCUUUACACGCUGAAGUUUCUCAGUUCGAUCCUGGGUGGAAACA
rfam:Daphnia pulex DAPPTscaffold_295_Cont8415, whole genome shotgun sequence.